GAGAAGAACGUAGCGAAAUGCGAUAAGUAAUGUGAAUUGCAGAAUUCAGUGAAUCAUCGAAUCUUUGAACGCACAUUGCGCCCUUUGGCAUUCCGAAGGGCACACCUGUCCGAGCGCCGUCGCACAACUGAGGCGCAGCCUUGCGUUGGCGGGCGACUUGUGAGUAGCGAGUCGCCGCCCAAACGAGACGGCGCCGCGCCGCGGCCGACGAAGCACGAAAGCGGAAGUCGACGCGGAGGCGGUUGCCUGUAGGAAGACACAGCUUGGCCUCGGAUCAGGUGGGGAUACCCGCUGAACUUAAGCAUAUCAAUAAGCGGAGGA
rnacentral:misc_RNA from 1 species